CAUCCUUAUCUCCUUCCCCUUAUCUUCUUCCACACAAACUGAAACCCUAGCCUCCAUAGUUUUCUCUCUACCCUCUCUCUCUAGACAAUUCAAGAAGAAGCAAGGAAACUCACCUUUAUCGGGUUCUUGAUCUUCAUCUCCAUCGGUCUAGGACGUGGUUGACCACACCUGCUCGUAAUCACUUAAGUCUAGCCGAGCAAACCAAAGAGGUUCAUAUGCGAUUACAGCUUUUUGUACUUCACGAAAUUUUUGCAACAUCAUUGUUGCAACAUCGUUGAGGCCUAAUCAGAGUUGUUUAAAAUUCAAACAAUCAGUUGCGGGUUAUUUUAGAGGGGAGUUCUUCUGCACUGUUUUUGAAGUCUAAAGUGCAGAAAGUGGAGUACUUCUUUAUGAUAAAUGAAGAAGUUAAUGGUUCUUAUGAUUUAAAGUAUCGGUUUAUCAAGCAAGUUGAGGAUCAAGUAUAUGAGGAUUGGGCUACUGUUCAAGAGCUGAAGAGGUGUUUUGAUGGACUGCAUCUUGGUCUAUUUAUGAGAGACCAAGUGUCCAGAAACCUGUAGGUGAUGUCUUUCUGCACUUCAGAAUUCAAAAACAGUGCAGAAGCUUUUCAUCACGUUUUACUACCAUUAUAUCCUUCUUUUACAUCAGAGUUGAAAAAAUAUACAAGUUAAAAAUGUCAUCAUAUCCUUCUGUGGGUUGUUAUGAUUUAAAGUAUCGCUUUAUAAAGCAAGUUGAGGAUCAAGUAUAUGAGGACAGGGCUAUUGUUCAAGAGCUGAAGAUUUUUAAAUUUCGUUGUUCAGUUCUCAAUGUAAUUGUUGAUCUAUCGUCAUAUGUGAUAUGUAUAUUUUUAAUCUAUUAAUCUUUGUAGAGCAUUUUAUUUUUACUGAUUUGAGCAUCAACA